AUGGCAAGAGGAAUGGUUUUUCAGGCUGGAUCUGUCCUUGUGGCAGCUAAUUUAGGAUCUCUUAGCAGGGCCAGUGUGCCCACCUCACAGGUAGGAAAACUGAGAUUCGCAAAGGAAAGCGGCUUUUCCAGGGAUUCUCAGGAAAAGAUUGACCCAACGAGGAGUAGAGCCAAGAUCUUUUGGAGUUUCUCAACAAUUGAAUCUGCAAUCCUAUUCCAGCACUGGAAAUCUGCAUUUUAAAUAAGACCCCUGGGUUCCUUCAAGAAUGAGAAGUAGAUCUAACAUUUGAUUCAGCAAUCUCACUCCUAAGUAUCUACUCGGAAGAAAAGAAGUCAUUAUAUGAAAAAGACACUUGUACAGGCAUGUUUGUAGCAGCACAAUUGCAAAAAUAUGGAACCAGCCCAAGUGCCCAUCAAUCAAUGAGUGGAUAAAGAAAAUGUGGUAUACAGGUAUGUAUACAGGUGGUGUUUGGUUACAUGGAUAAGUUCAUUAGCAGUGAUUUCUGAGAUUUUGGUGCACCCAUCAUCCAAGCAGUAUACACUGUACCUAAUGUGUAGUAUUUUAUCCCUCAGUUCCCUCCCACCCUUGCCCCAGAGUCUCGAAGAUCUAUUGUAUCAUUCUCAUGCCUUUGCAUCCUCAUAGCUUAGCUCCCAUUUACGAGAGAGAACAUACGAUGUUUGGUUUUCUAUUCCUGAGUUACUUCACUUAAAAUAAUGGUCUCCAAUUCCAUCCAGGUUGCCGCAAAUGCCGUUAUUUCAAAACCCCAAAUCCAGAAAUAACUGCUAAAGAACUUAUCCAUGUAAUCAAACACCACCUGUUCCCCA
rnacentral:lncRNA from 1 species